rnacentral:tRNA from 1 species
GCCCCAACAGCCUAACGGAUAAAGGCACUGGCCUCCUCAACCAGGAAGUGUGGGUUUGAGUCCCAUCUCGGGUG